rnacentral:rRNA from 1 species
CUGAAGAGUUUGAUCCUGGCUCAGAUUGAACGCUGGCGGUAUGCUUUACACAUGCAAGUCGAACGGCAGCAUAGGUGCUUGCACCUGAUGGCGAGUGGCGAACGGGUGAGUAAUAUAUCGGAACGUGCCCAGUAAUGGGGAAUAACUAAUUGAAAGAUUAGCUAAUACCGCAUACGACCUACGGGUGAAAGGGGGGGAUCGCAAGACCUCUCGCUACAGGAGCGGCCGAUGUCAGAUUAGGUAGUUGGUG